UACGUAGGGUGCGAGCGUUGUCCGGAAUUACUGGGCGUAAAGAGCUCGUAGGCGGUUUGUCGCGUCUGCCGUGAAAGUCCGGGGCUCAACUCCGGAUCUGCGGUGGGUACGGGCAGACUAGAGUGAUGUAGGGGAGACUGGAAUUCCUGGUGUAGCGGUGAAAUGCGUAGAUAUCUGGAGGAACACCGGUGGCGAAGGCGGCGUCCUGGACCAACACUGACACUGAGGAGCGAAAGCCAGG
rnacentral:rRNA from 1 species